rnacentral:lncRNA from 1 species
GCGAAGUCUGGGGAGUCGUCCUGGGGAUCGGGGUGCCUCGGCGGACCCUCGGUGCCCCGCGGAGACCCAGAGCAGAAUCACUGCUAUUCUUUAGCUCCAGACUACUGACUCCCGUCCAAAAGUGCACUUGCAUGAAACCAUGGCUGGUUAUAAACCUGUAGUGAUUCAGACAUAUCCUGUACUUGGUGAGAAAAUCACCCAAGACACUCUGUACUGGAACAACUAUAAGACCCCUGUUCAGAUUAAGGAAUUUGGUGCAGUGUCCAAAGUAGACUUUUCUCCUCAGCCUCCAUAUAACUAUGCCGUCACAGCUUCUUCAAGGAUCCACAUUUAUGGCCGGUACUCUCAAGAGCCUGUAAAAACCUUUUCCCGCUUUAAGGACACAGCAUACUGUGCUACUUUUCGUCAGGAUGGUCAGUUGCUUGUCGCUGGCAGUGAAGAUGGCGUGGUUCAACUUUUUGAUAUUAGUGGGAGGGCUCCCCUCAGGCAAUUUGAAGAGCCUUCCAGGUGCUGGGAGUUAAAGGUGUGUACCACCACAGCUCAGGGCUUGUUUUUAUAUUCAUUGAAACUUACUUGCUGUGUGAAGUGUUUUAACAUAAUGACAUAUUUCACUAUGUAACGUUGGCCUUAAGAGUCAAAUGCCUAAUCAAUUUUUAGACCUGUGGUUUUAAGUUGGGAAGUAUUUUCUAUUUUACUAUUGAUGCAGAAAUAAUGAAUUGUUGCUGAGAACUUAGUCAUUUAUGUUUAAUUUAUUAUGUUAAUUCAGAUUUCAACAUAUGGAAAGGGUUGCUUGUUUCCAGUCAGAUUUCCUACAUGUCUGUGCUAUUAACUUGCUGAAACAACUGAUGUCAAAUGGGGCCAUUAGAAACUCUGUUGAUUGAACGGAAAUGAAUUCUGUUAAAUGCUAAUUAAAGUCUCCCUUGAACAUGA